GGGCCAACAUUGGCUGUAGGUUGUAAGGUUGGCGUUGGCUUAACAACGUUGGGCCAACAUUGGACCAAUGUACACUUGACACAUCUAACUUGAGUGUCAAUGUUAGUUGGGAACACAGCGUUGGGCCAACAUUGGGCCAAUGUACACUUGACACAACUAACUUGAGUGUCAAUGUUAGUUGGGAACGCAACGUUGGGCAAACAUUAGGCCAAUGUACACUUGACACAUCUAAUUUGAGUGUCAAUGUUUCUUGGGAACGCAACUUCGGGCCAACAUUUUGGGUCAAUGUUGUAAAUUUACAAUCAAUGUCAGUUGAGACAUGAUAUCGGCCCAACAAUGAUCCAACGUCUGUUAAUUACAUUUUUUAUUUCCUGAUUAGUUUGUUGGUCGAUUACAUUUAUAAAAACACGCAUACCUUUUCAACAGUGGUUAUAUGUUUAAACAUCUCUUUUUAUUAUUUUUUUUACAAUGUUUUGAGAUAGAAUCAUUACUAAAAGCUAAAUAUACUGUCAAUAGUUACAUGUACAUACUCUUUAUAAAAGGAAACAUGUUUAAAAAUGCAAGUUUAAUUUUUAUUCUUUUAAAGAAGCUUAAAAUUGUGAAAGCCCAAAAUUAAAAUGAAGAUAUUCUGCAAAUGUAUUCAGCUGCAUAAUAUUGUUCUAAAGUGUAGAAUUUAAGUUGCCGAUCCUGAGAUAAGAGAAUAGCACAUUCACUGACCAAGCAAUUAAGACAGAGUUUUCUCAGCAUGAGACUGGCCAGUUUCCAUGGUUAUUGUGAUAUCUGAUCUGUUGGGAUGGCCAAACCUGCUCCCAUUUAACAUUUUGUAGGACAGAUCUAAACAGUCUGCUCAAUGUAUAGCCACAGUCAAGUGAAUAAAACAGAAAUGGAAUAUGUUCAAGCUGCCCCCUUCCAGUCUGACGAACUUUCAACUGACUUCGAAAUUUGAUGUUUUUGAAAACCAGUGUUUUAUUUGGAUGACUGUGAACAGUUGAAGAUAUAAAUGAAGCAAAACAAACAGAAGAGAGUGAAUUAUUACUUUAUUCUAUUUUGGAGUAACUAAGUUUAAAAAGUGUGGACAUAGAUUUACCCUGUGAACAUAUGCUAGCUAGAUAACGAAUGGCCGUCAUUUAAUUUCAAGGAUUGUUUUUAUCAUGGUUUGUGCACUCUGGAUUCAAAAUAAAUCCAUCAUUUAAAUUGU